GGCCUACGGGGGGCAGCAGUGGGGAAUAUUGCACAAUGGGGGGAACCCUGAUGCAGCGACGCCGCGUGAGUGAAGAAGUAUUUCGGUAUGUAAAGCUCUAUCAGCAGGAAAGAUAAUGACGGUACCUGACUAAGAAGCCCCGGCUAACUACGUGCCAGCAGCCGCGGUAAUACGUAGGGGGCAAGCGUUAUCCGGAUUUACUGGGUGUAAAGGGAGCGUAGACGGCGAGACAAGUCUGGAGUGAAAGGCCGGGGCCCAACCCCGGGACUGCUCUGGAAACUGCCUGGCUGGAGUACAGGAGAGGG
rnacentral:rRNA from 1 species